GUGCCAGCAGCCGCGGUAAUACGAGGGGGGCAAGCGUUGUUCGGAAUUAUUGGGCGUAAAGGGCGCGUAGGCGGUUUGGCAAGUUUCGUGUGAAAUCUUCGGGCUCAACUCGAAGUCUGCACGGAAAACUGCCGGGCUUGAGUAUGGGAGAGGUGAGUGGAAUUUCCGGUGUAGCGGUGAAAUGCGUAGAUAUCGGAAGGAACACCUGUGGCGAAAGCGGCUCACUGGACCAUUACUGACGCUGAGGCGCGAAAGCUAGGGGAGCAAACAGGAUUAGAAACCCUCGUAGUCC
rnacentral:rRNA from 1 species